ensembl:lncRNA
UCCACAUCAUCAUCAUCAUCAUCACGGUGUUGAGUAUUUUCUUUCACUUUUCCUUCUCUCUGCUCCGCAGCACUGUUGCUGCUGGUAUAAACACAUUUGUUUUAGGGAUUCGAGUCCAGUGACUCCCGGGAAUAAUGUACUGGUGUUUGUUGCCUGCCAGUCCCUCUGUCCGAUCCGGUGGGAGCUGGUCUGUAGUUGGAUGCUGAAGUUCCGGCUCGUAGGUUUGCUCAAUGCAGACAUAAGGUUUGUUACUCUUCCCACUAAACCUUCUCUCUUUUCUUUCCCUGAAUUUCCCUUGGAUUGGUUGCUUAAUUUGACCGCGUCAGAAGCUGAAGAGUUUGCUGCCAAACCAAAUGCCCUCUUUCGUAUUAUCGUAUUAUCAACCUGAAACUAUGGUUUUUGCUUUGGAUGAUCUCAUAGAGACUGCAUCAAAAAGCAGUGAGAGGAUAAGGCCGGAGGAUGAGGCCGAAAUGUAGCCCUCGGGUCAUUAAUUUCCUCCUUCCUGGCAUUGUGUCCUUACAAAUCCUCUUCAAAAUCUAUUAUAACAGGCCUGACAAGUGGUAGUGAUGCAUUAACACCGAAUUCUGCUGCCUCAGAGACGACCAGCCCCACAAAAGACAGAGUGAUGGAGACAAUAGAAGCCUGAAGGAUAACAAAAAAAAAAAAAUCAAAUAUAUCAAAAAGUCAAUCAAUUCAGUCACCCCGGACCAACAAUAAAAUCUGUUCAUGGCCUUUGGGAUCAAAAUGUACUCCGUGACUCGCCUUUCAACUACAAAUCUUGUUUAAAACAAGAGAAAAUAUGCACACCUGCACUUGACAGCUGUGGCACAAAGCCCAACGUUGUGGAACGCCAACCAUCCCGCUCCUCGCCACGUCCCAUUUGGCAUUGCCAGCGGAGAACUUUCUUUUUAAUUCCCCCCCUCUCCCUGCAAUGUUCAAAGAGUUGCCAAUGGACACAUCCCCUUAACAGGAGACGAUAAAGAGACGGGUCGUAGAGGUUCACAGUGGCCGCGUCCGCUCGGCAUCCGAGACGGCUGGAAUUAAAGACCACGAUGUGCGGCACAGCAGAUCAAGAGAGAGAAAAGCGUCACUUUCACAAACAAACAGCAUUUGCGAGAGGAGAACAGAGGAGAGUAGCCUGCAGUCACUAUUUCUCUCACCCGAUGAGGGUUUGGUUGGUCGUAAGCUUGCUCACCUCUAAGACAAUGGCUCUUUUUUUC